rnacentral:rRNA from 1 species
GUUCGGAAUUACUGGGCUUAAAGAGUUCGUAGGUGGUUGAAAAAGUUGGUGGUGAAAUCCCAGAGCUUAACUCUGGAACUGCCAUCAAAACUUUUCAGCUAGAGUAUGAUAGAGGAAAGCAGAAUUUCUAGUGUAGAGGUGAAAUUCGUAGAUAUUAGAAAGAAUACCAAUUGCGAAGGCAGCUUUCUGGAUCAUUACUGACACUGAGGAACGAAAGCAUGGGUAGCGAAGAGGAUUAGAUACCCUCGUAGUCCAUGCCGUAAACGAUGUGUGUUAGACGUUGGAAAUUUAUUUUCAGUGUCGCAGGGAAACCGAUAAACACACCGCCUGGGGAGUACGACCGCAAGGUUAAAACUCAAAUGAAUUGACGGGGACCCGCACAAGUAGUGGAGCAUGUGGUUUAAUUCGAAGAUACGCGCAGAACCUUACCAACACUUGACAUGUUCGUCGCGACUCUAAGAGAUUAGAGUUUUCGGUUCGGCCGGACGAAACACAGGUGCUGCAUGGCUGUCGUCAGCUCGUGUCGUGAGAUGUUGGGUUAAGUCCCGCAACGAGCGCAACCCUCACUUUUAGUUGCCAUCAUUAAGUUGGGCACUCUGAAAGAACUGCCAGUGAUAAGCUGGAGGAAGGUGGGGAUGACGUCAAGUCCUCAUGGCCCUUACGUGUUGGGCUACACACGUGCUACAAUGGCAUCUACAACAGGAAGCAAAACGGCAACGUUAAGCAAAUCCCGAAA